rnacentral:lncRNA from 1 species
CGGGAAGGUAGUGCUGGAGGAAAGAAAGAAAAAGAUGACCUGGCCUCCUUGUAAACGUGUGAAUGGCAUACACAUACAGCACCUUUACCAGAAAAGAGGUCUAAGAGUUCGGAUGGCAAACAAACUAGCAUCUCUGAAUUUAUGGGACGGAGUCUCAUUGUUACGCGGCUGGCGUACAGUGGCGCAAUCUCGGCUCACUGCAACCUCCAUCUCUUGGGUUCAAGCGAU